rnacentral:rRNA from 1 species
CAGUCGCCGCGGGAAUACGGAGGGUGCAAGCGUUACUCGGAAUCACUGGGCGUAAAGGACGCGUAGGCGGAUUAUCAAGUCUCUUGUGAAAUCUAACGGCUUAACCGUUAAACUGCUUGGGAAACUGAUAAUCUAGAGUAAGGGAGAGGCAGAUGGAAUUCUUGGUGUAGGGGUAAAAUCCGUAGAUAUCAAGAAGAAUACCUAUUGCGAAGGCGAUCUGCUGGAACUUAACUGACGCUAAUGCGUGAAAGCGUGGGGAGCAAACAGGAUUAGAUACCCGGGUAGUCCCCGUCUCUUAUAC